rnacentral:rRNA from 1 species
GGAGUUUGGACCGUGUCUCAGUUCCAAUGUGGGGGACCUUCCUCUCAGAACCCCUACUGAUCGCGGGCUUGGUGGGCCGUUACCCCGCCAACAACCUAAUCAGACGCAUCCCCAUCCCUUAGCGGAAAUCCUUUGCUUCGCUUUCGAUGCCUCAUGCGAAGAACAUAGGGUAUUAAUCCGACUUUCGCCGGGCUAUCCCCUACUAGGGGGAAGGUUGGAUACGCGUUACUCACCCGUGCGCCGGUCGCCAGCAAAGAAAGCAAGCUUUCUCCCUGCUGCCCCUCGACUUGCAUGUGUUAAGCCUGUAGCUAGCGUUCAUC